rnacentral:rRNA from 1 species
AUCAGAGAAUUUAGCAGAGAUGCUUUAGUGCCUUUCGGGAACUCUGGGACAGGUGCUGCAUGGCUGUCGUCAGCUCGUGUUGUGAAAUGUUGGGUUAAGUCCCGNAACGAGCGCAACCCUUAUCCUUUGUUGCCAGCACGUAAUGGUGGGAACUCAAAGGAGACUGCCGGUGAUAAACCGGAGGAAGGUGGGGAUGACGUCAAGUCAUCAUGGCCCUUACGAGUAGGGCUACACACGUGCUACAAUGGCGCAUACAAAGAGAAGCGACCUCGCGAGAGCAAGCGGACCUCAUAAAGUGCGUCGUAGUCCGGAUUGGAGUCUGCAACUCGACUCCAUGAAGUCGGAAUCGCUAGUAAUCGUAAAUCAGAAUGUUACGGUGAAUACGUUCCCGGGCCUUGUACACACCGCCCGUCACACCAUGGGAGUGGGUUGCAAAAGAAGUAGAUAGCUUAACCUUCGGGAGGGCGUUUACCACUUUGUGAUUCAUGACUGGGGUGAAGUCGUAACAAGGUAGGCGUAGUGCU